rnacentral:lncRNA from 1 species
CCAUUGAAUCAAGAACCAUAUUGUCCAUUGUCUUGCAAAUAGGGUGGAAAACCAUAAGCCAAUUUUGAUUAUUGUCAUAAUAUUAUUAUUGUGAACCUUUCAUAUAUUGUUUUAGUAUUGUGGAUUUAUUCUUGUGGUGACAAUCAUACUUCAAGAAAACUUGAAGGAAGGCUAAAGGAGUUCACAACAACUCAAGGACAAUCAUCAAAAGGAGGUUCAUCAAAUUCCACAUAUGGAUUCAGGUUAGAGAUUAUUCAAUAUAAAGGUUAUUGUCUUUAGUAGGAAUCAUAAUCCUAACAAUCAAAGCUCACUUUAAUUAUCAAAAUUCAUCCAGUUAGAUCAAACACAAACAAAAACAACAAAGUGAAAUUCAAUGGAAAAAUAAACAGAGCAGUGAUGAAUUAACAAAGUAGUAAAAGCAUGAAGUUAAUCAAACACAAAGUAAAAGGAAAUGAGAAAUCAAUCUUAAUGAACCUGAAAUUUCUUGCACGGCAACUUUGAAACAAAAACGCCGGAACCGUGGACGGAAACUCAAAUUAGCGCCGAGAGACUUCGAGUUGAACCCAAAUACAUCAGUCACUCCAUUUCGAUUUCCCUCACGCUGUUGCUUUGAUUAUAUGGGUGGACUUAUAACCAAAUCAGAGAAGGAAUAAAUGAAUCGAAAGCCAUGGCAGAAGCAGCUUGGAGACGAGAUAGGUGUUGGGUGUUCCAGUUGAAGGACGCCGCUGGUUUGUUCUGGUUGUAUGACAACUGACUUGAGGUUCGACGAUGGUUGUGGCUUGGACGUGAGGAGGGAGAGGCGUCGAGUGGAGAGGAAGAUGGACUGGUUCGCUGGAGCAGCGACGGGUGACGCUGGUUGACUGGUCGACGGAACUGGCUGCUGGUCGUGGACUGGCUAGCGAUGGAGGACAACCAGCGGCGUUGGAGGAGGACAGCGACGAGCAGCUGUGGUCAUUUUUCGGUGAAUUUUUGGGGUUGGAUAUGAGGUGGCGGCUACGUAGGUAUUUUUGGGGUUUUUAAUGUCUAUUUGUUGAAGGAGCAAGAAUGACUGCUAGGUUUUUCCUUUUUUCUAGGGUUUUUGUAGUGGGUAGGGUUUAGCUUUGUUUUUUUUUUUGGCUACUAGGUUUAGGUUUUCGUAGGUUAAAGAAGAGAAGAGAUAGUCUAGGGUUUUUUUGGUCUUGAUGGGCU